AGCCGUGUGAUAGAAACAUAGCGAACUAUUCUUUCGCCUUUUACUAAAGAAUACCGUGUUUCUGUCACAUGAAGCGGCAUACGCCAGUUUUUGGAAGAGUUUUCUUAAAUGAAAACU
rfam:Cajanus cajan chromosome 6, whole genome shotgun sequence.